UACAGAGGGGGCAAGCGUUAUUCGGAAUUAUUGGGCGUAAAGGGCGCGUAGGCGGCUUUGCAAGUGGCGGGUGAAAUCCCUCGGCUUAACCGAGGAACUGCCUGCCAGACUGUGAGGCUUGAGACCGGGAGAGGUGAGUGGAAUUCCCAGUGUAGCGGUGAAAUGCGUAGAUAUUGGGAGGAACACCAGUGGCGAAGGCGGCUCACUGGACCGGAACUGACGCUGAGGAGCGAAAGCGUGGGGAGCAAACAGG
rnacentral:rRNA from 1 species